rnacentral:ncRNA from 1 species
GGGACACUGUCCCAUGGAUGUGGCGAAGGCUGAACAAAAAG